rnacentral:rRNA from 1 species
GCAUCGAUGAAGAACGCAGCGAAACGCGAUAGGUAAUGUGAAUUGCAGAAUUCCGUGAAUCAUCGAAUCUUUGAACGCACCUUGCGCUCCAUGGCAUUCCGUGGAGCAUGCCUGUUUGAGUGCCGCGAAAUCUCCCACCCCUAGCGGUUGCCGCAAGGCGCCGCCGGGCGGCGGGGUUGGUUGGGUGCCGCUGCCUGGGCUUUGGCCCAGGCUCGCCCGAAAUGCAUGAGCGCUUAGCACUCGCACCGUCUCGAGGGAAGGCGGCGGAGCUGGCAUCUGCGCAUGGCAUGAUACGCCAUUUGCUGUGUGGCAGCCCAGCGACCCGAGAGUGUGUGUGCGCUACUACACGCCCUUUCAUUUCUGGUCUCAAAUCAGGUAGGAUCACCCGCUGAACUUAAGCAUAUCAAUAAGCGGAGGAA